GAGGCGUCCCUGGGCCCGCGGGAGAGUUGUGUCACGGGGCACUGAGCUGUUCCCUGCGCUAAGUGCUGGUAAUGAUGUAUACCUGGCAGCUGACCGUCAAAUCUUAUGAAGGAUUAAAACAUAAAGUUUGCAUUAAAGGUCAAAACAGUCACAAGCCUGCUCAAAUUCGGAAAGAGGGGACGGAAAUGGAACCUCUUCAUGGGAGGAAGAAACAGGGUCUUGCUCUGUUGCCCUGGCUGGAGUGCAAUGGUAUGAUCAUAGCUCACAGUAGCCUUGAACUCCUGGGCCCAAGCCAUCCUCCUACCUCAGCAACCAGAGUAGCUGGGAUUACAGGCGAAUGCCACCACACCUGGAAUUGGAAAAAUGAAUGUAAUUUGACAUAUGUCUUGAGUCUGGUUGGCUUCUGAGGAACUUGUGUGCAUCUCAUCAGUAUGCAUCUUAAGAACUGAAAUGACCCUACUUCAGCAUUGUGAGAAGACAUGCAUUCUCUUCGUAUAAAUAAUGUGGAUCUUACAUGUAAAGUAUUAUAAAGAUUAGCUGUUUAAC
rnacentral:lncRNA from 1 species